AUUGCAAAUCGUUCUAUCGCUCCCGGCUCCUGGCCGGGGGAGGAAAGUCCGGGCAACACAGAGCAUCCUGCUUCCUAACGGGAAGGCGCCGUUCAGCCGGCGACAGAAAGUGCCACAGAAAAUAAACCGCCGCGACUUGUCGGGGCAAGGGUGAAAACGUGAGGUAAGAGCUCACGGCUUUCCCGGGCGACCGGGAUCGCGGUAAACCUCAGGAGUUGAAAGACCAAAUAGGUCCCGGAUCGGAAGCUGCUCGCUUCUAAUUCCGAUUUAUCGGGAUAGUCGGGAUGGGUAGGUUGCUUGAACCUGUCAGCGAUGGCAGGGCCAGAUAAAUGAUAGAAGUUCACAGAACCCGGCUUAUAGCUUUGCUGCUGAA
rnacentral:RNase_P_RNA from 1 species